AACUUCAAACCGCCACAGGUAACC
rnacentral:miRNA from 1 species